UACGGAGGGUGCAAGCGUUACUCGGAAUCACUGGGCGUAAAGCGCGCGCAGGCGGCUUGAUAAGUUGGAUGUGAAAGCCUACGGCUCAACCGUAGAACUGCAUCCAAAACUGUCAAGCUAGAGUCUGGGAGGGGAAGAUGGAAUUAGUUGUGUAGGGGUAAAAUCCGUAGAGAUAACUAGGAAUACCAAAAGCGAAGGCGAUCUUCUGGAACAGUACUGACGCUGAGGCGCGAAAGCGUGGGGAGCAAACAGGAUUAGAUACCCUGGUAGUCCACGCCCUAAACGAUGAAUGUUAGUCGUCGGAGGCCUAGUGUCUUCGGUGAUGCAGCUAACGCAUUAAACAUUCCGCCUGGGGAGUACGGUCGCAAGAUUAAAACUCAAAGGAAUAGACGGGGACCCGCACAAGUGGUGGAGCAUGUGGUUUAAUUCGAAGAUACGCGAAGAACCUUACCUAGCCUUGACAUAUUUGAGAAUCCGGUAGAGAUACUGGAGUGCCUUCGGGAACUCAUAUACAGGUGCUGCACGGCUGUCGUCAGCUCGUGUCGUGAGAUGUUGGGUUAAGUCCCGCAACGAGCGCAACCCUCGUCACUAGUUACUAACGGUUCGGCCGAGGACUCUAGUGAGACUGCCUUCGCAAGGGAGGAGGAAGGUGAGGACGACGUCAAGUCAUCAUGGCCCUUACGGCUAGGGCAACACACGUGCUACAAUGGCCAGGACAGUGAGACGCGAUACCGCGAGGUGGAGCAAAUCUAUAAACCUGGUCUCAGUUCGGAUUGUAGUCUGCAACUCGACUACAUGAAGCUGGAAUCACUAGUAAUCGUAGAUCAGCUAUGCUACGGUGAAUACGUUCCCGGGUC
rnacentral:rRNA from 1 species